AGUUUGAUCCUGGCUCAGGAUGAACGCUAGCUACAGGCUUAACACAUGCAAGUCGAGGGGAAACGACAUCGAAAGCUUGCUUUUGAUGGGCGUCGACCGGCGCACGGGUGAGUAACGCGUAUCCAACCUGCCCACCACUUGGGAAUAACCUUGCGAAAGUAAGACUAAUACCCAAUGACGUCUCUAGAAGACAUCUGAAAGAGAUUAAAGAUUUAUCGGUGAUGGAUGGGGAUGCGUCUGAUUAGCUUGUUGGCGGGGUAACGGCCCACCAAGGCUACGAUCAGUAGGGGUUCUGAGAGGAAGGUCCCCCACAUUGGAACUGAGACACGGUCCAAACUCCUACGGGAGGCAGCAGUGAGGAAUAUUGGUCAAUGGACGAGAGUCUGAACCAGCCAAGUAGCGUGCAGGAUGACGGCCCUAUGGGUUGUAAACUGCUUUUAUAAGGGAAUAAAGUGAGUCUCGUGAGACUUUUUGCAUGUACCUUAUGAAUAAGGACCGGCUAAUUCCGUGCCAGCAGCCGCGGUAAUACGGAAGGUCCGGGCGUUAUCCGGAUUUAUUGGGUUUAAAGGGAGCGUAGGCCGGAGAUUAAGCGUGUUGUGAAAUGUAGAUGCUCAACAUCUGCACUGCAGCGCGAACUGGUUUCCUUGAGUACGCACAAAGUGGGCGGAAUUCGUGGUGUAGCGGUGAAAUGCUUAGAUAUCACGAAGAACUCCGAUUGCGAAGGCAGCUCACUGGAGCGCAACUGACGCUGAAGCUCGAAAGUGCGGGUAUCGAACAGGAUUAGAUACCCUGGUAGUCCGCACGGUAAACGAUGGAUGCCCGCUGUUGGUCUGAAUAGGUCAGCGGCCAAGCGAAAGCAUUAAGCAUCCCACCUGGGGAGUACGCCGGCAACGGUGAAACUCAAAUGAAUUGACGGAAGGGCGU
rnacentral:rRNA from 1 species